rnacentral:rRNA from 1 species
GAUGAACGCUGGCGGCGUGCUUAACACAUGCAAGUCGAACGAGAGGAAGGAUUGGUGCUUGCACUGAUCCGAUCGAGUGGCGGACGGGUGAGUAACGCGUGGGUAACCUGCCUCAUACAGGGGAAUAACAGUUGGAAACGGCUGCUAAAACCGCAUAAGCGCACGGUAUCGCAUGAUACAGUGUGAAAAACUCCGGUGGUAUGAGAUGGACCCGCGUCUGAUUAGCUAGUUGGUGAGGUAACGGCCCACCAAGGCAACGAUCCAGUAGCCGGCCUGAGAGGGUGAACGGCCACAUUGGGACUGAGACACGGCCCAAAACUCCUACGGGAGCAGCAGUGGGGAAUAUUGCACAAUGGGGGAAACCCUGAUGCAGCGACGCCGCGUGAGUGAUGAAGUAUUUCGGUAUGUAAAGCUCUGUCAGCAGGGAANAUAAUGACGGUACCUGACCAAGAAGCCCCGG